CGUGUGUGAUGAAGCUUGUGGUUCGUAGGCACUUUCUGCGACGAGGUUGCUCUUGAUCCUCCUACUAGGAUACGUUGGAACGUUCUCGCAGACUUAGCAGCCGGCUAACUCUGUGCCAGCAGCCGCGGUAAUACAGAGGGUGCAAGCGUUAAUCGGAUUUACUGGGCGUAAAGCGCGCGUAGGCGGCUAAUUAAGUCAAAUGUGAAAUCCCCGAGCUUAACUUGGGAAUUGCAUUCGAUACUGGUUAGCUAGAGUGUGGGAGAGGAUGGUAGAAUUCCAGGUGUAGCGGUGAAAUGCGUAGAGAUCUGGAGGAAUACCGAUGGCGAAGGCAGCCAUCUGGCCUAACACUGACGCUGAGGUGCGAAAGCAUGGGGAGCAAACAGGAUUAGAUACCCUGGUAGUCCAUGCCGUAAACGAUGUCUACUAGCCGUUGGGGCCUUUGAGGCUUUAGUGGCGCAGCUAACGCGAUAAGUAGACCGACUGGGGAGUACGGUCGCAAGACUAAAACUCAAAUGAAUUGACGGGGGCCCGCACAAGCGGUGGAGCAUGUGGUUUCAUUCGAUGCAACGCGAAGACCUUACCUGGCCUUGACAUAGU
rnacentral:rRNA from 1 species